GUUUUACCGUUGCUCAGAUUCAAGCGGCUCCUGAUUGGCUGCUGCCGGACUGUCGGCAUUAAAGCAUCUGCGGCUCGCGCUGUGCCAGCUGUCCUCCCGCACUCGGCUAGUGCUGGGCAACGGUGUGAAUCUCCUGCUGAGGAGGAUCUGUGAAUCUGGAAGAAAAAGGGACUAUGGCUGCCAACAUGGGGUCGAUGCGUAUCCUCAUUAAAGGAGGGAAGGUGGUCAAUGAUGACUUCACCCAGGAAGCAGACGUCUACAUUGAGAAUGGCAUCAUUCAGCAGGUUGGAAAGGAACUGAUGAUACCAGGCGGAGCUAAGGUGAUUGAUGCCUCUGGAAAGCUGGUGUUGCCGGGUGGAAUAGACACCAGCGUGCAUCUGCAGCAGACUUUCAUGAACGCCAGCAUUCAGGAUGACUUCUACAGUGGGACAAAGGCCGCACUGAUGGGUGGUACCACCAUGGUGAUGGCUCUGGCCCUGCCUGAACAACACUGCUCCCUGCUGGACACCUACGAGAAGUGCCGAGCUCUGGCCGACGCCAAGGCGUGCUGCGACUACGCUCUGCAUGUUGGGGUGACUUGGUGGGGGCCGAAGGUCCGUAGCGAGAUGGAGACCCUGGUGAGAGAGCAUGGAGUGAACUCUUUCCAGAUAUACAUGGCAUACAAAGAUAUGAUGAUGCUAAGAGACUCUGAGCUCUACCAGACGCUGCAGACCUGUAAGGACAUCGGGGCCAUCGCUCGCGUCCACGCUGAGAACGGAGAGCUCGUGGCAGAGGGUGCCAAAGAGGCUCUGGAUUUGGGAAUCAGUGGACCGGAGGGCAUUGAGAUCAGUCGACCAGAGGAGCUGGAGUCUGAGGCUACUCACAGAGCUGUCACUAUCGCUAACAGGGCUCACUGCCCGAUCUACCUGGUGAAUGUGUCCAGUAUUUCUGCUGGAGACAUGAUUGCUGCUGCUAAGAUGCAAGGUAAGGUGGUCCACGCAGAGACCACAGUAGCUCACGCUGUGCUGAACGGGAUGCACUAUUACCACCAGGACUGGGCUCACGCUGCCGCCCACGUCAUCAUCCCUCCUCUCCGUCUCGACCCCAACACACCUAGCUACCUCAUGGGCCUGCUGGGCAAUGACUCUCUGAGUGUCGUAGCAUCAGAGCACCGUCCAUUUAGCACCAAGCAGAGAGCUUUGGGCAAGGAGGACUUCACAAAGAUCCCUCAUGGAAUGUCUGGAGUCCAGGACAGGAUGAGUGUCAUUUGGGAGAGGGGAGUGGUUACAGGAAAAAUGGAUGAGAAUCGUUUUGUGGCAGUGACGAGCUCUAACGCUGCAAAGAUCUACAACCUGUAUCCACGCAAGGGUCGUAUCAUCCCCGGGGCUGAUGCUGAUUUGGUGGUCUGGGACCCGGAUGCAACGAGAACGAUCUCUGUGAGCACUCAGGUGCAGGGCGGAGACUUCAACCUGUACGAGGGGAUGCGUUGCCAUGGUGUUCCCCUGGUCACCAUCAGCCGAGGACGUUUGGUAUGUGAGAACGGUGUGUUCAUGUGUGCCGAGGGAUCAGGAAAGUUCUACCCUCAGCGCACCUUCCCUGACUACCUCUACAAGAAGAUGGUCCAGAGAGAAAAGACUCAGACUUAUAAAAGGGUUGACAGGGAUCCCUACUCUGGUGAUGUGGCCAAGGUGGCAAACACUAUGAAGAAGGAGCUCGGUUUGGGCCACAUAGACGGAGAGGCGUCCAACAAAGCCUGUCCUCGCGCGCACCAGGGAGUCCGAGACCUCCACGAGUCCUCCUUCAGCCUCUCAGGUUCUCAGGUCGAUGACCACAUCCCCAAGAGGUCCUCAGCCCGGAUCCUGGCCCCUCCUGGCGGUCGCUCAAGUGGUAUCUGGUAAUCGCUGCUGCCGGAGCUUCACCCGUCCGAGCCUCCUUGUUUUGUAUUAUUCUGCGCGACCAGGAAAACUGCACUGAUUUUCAAUCACAGGACUAAAGUAAAGAGAGUAAAAUAAAUUGAAGAACGCUGAUGAUCAGUGAUUUGCCAAAGUGACUUUUACAAAUUUAAUUUGUGUCUUAAUUGGAGUGACUGACCUGAGUAAUAACACGAGAGUGAAGGGCUACCUAUGAAUUUAAAAUGUUUUGCCAAAUUCAAGCUGAUCAUACUAACAUUGACAAAGUCUGCUCAUUACCACCCUGCUCGUAUCCCGCGAAGAAACGCCAACUAAACAAACUGUGAAAGAUCAAAACCAGUACAGUUUUUGAUGGUUUAAACUGAAGUAAUGUCGACUGAAUUAUUUAAAAAAUAGUGGAACUGGAUUCAGUGAAAUAUCUAUUAUACCCCUGUCAUACACACACACAUAUCCAGUACACUGUAGACACCAUAGCUUUAGACUCAUAUGAAGAUGUGUGUGGAUUCUGUUUGUGAUUAAACACCCACUGUGCUCGGCUUCCUGCAGCACCGUGGGUUCCUCUAACAGUGUUUUUAUUUCCAAUGGGUGAACUGUGCUGUGUGGUGAUGACAUCCAACUGCUUCAAACACUGUGUGAUUUUACAGCUACACUCUCUAAAUAGAGUCAGACCUGACCCUAUCCAUCCUUAUAUUUUCACUGCCUCUGACUGAAACAACACAUAUUCCAGAAACAUCCUGCCUCACCUGCAAUGGCGCAGGGUCUAUAGGACUGAGUUACAGAAUUAUACAACCUGUGGUCUGCUCUGGGAUUAUAACUGGUCCCAAAACAGCUAAAUGUAGUCCUUUCUGUCGUGGAAGCGUGGUAUUUAUAGACCUUGCCAAGUACUACUGUAGAAGACUGAAAAGAAGUUGGAAAAGCUUUCUGUUUCUUUGCUGCUGAUAAUACAGAACACAAGAAUAAUGCUUGAUUUACAUCAAUAAAGUUGAAUGCAGUGCCUUCUCAUACACUGGAGAGAUCACUUAGAGCUUUCUGAGUGAAAACAGAAGCUGCUAAAAAACACCAGGGGCCUCAUUUGUCAAAAUGUGCAUAAAACAAGCGUAAAUCCGU